rnacentral:snoRNA from 1 species
ACGCCGCAUCAGUAGAGCGACAUCAUUUUUCCUAAGAGUAAUGCCUGCUGGCGAUGCCAGCGCGA